rnacentral:sRNA from 1 species
UGUGUCGACGGACAGACACGCCCUUCAAGGAGGAGGGGAACGGACAUCGCAGGACGUGAUUCAUCAGGACGAUGAAAGGGAAUACAGGGAAUAGGGAAAAAUGUGGGCGGGUCAUACCGCCCCUUUUUUU